CUAAGAUGUUCUUUUGCAGAGGUUUGUCAGGUAGUCUAAAUACUAUGCUAUAUUCUUCAGGAAGUAGUUGGAUAGUUGCCACCUUAACAUUUUUUUUUUUAAAUUAUGUCUUGAAAGGAUACAAUAUUUUUGUAGAUUCGUGUGCUAAACUGGAGAAGCUUGGGACAAUAAGCUGAACAACAUGAGCAAAGCCAAAUUCAGGGUAGGAUCUCAGGGGUGUCCAGCCAGCCUUUCUUUGUACUGAAAGGGGUCACCUUUUCAAACAUUGUAUUCACACAGCUUUGAGUUUAUUUCUUCUCUGAACUUCAUUUCUAAACCAUUACUGUUCUGGGUGAGCUGUGCUUAGAGACAUAACGGAGGUAUUUAUGUCUUCACUUUGGGAAAAAAGGGAGGUGGAGGAGGGUUGUGGCAGCGUUGAGAAGAAGCUCUGAGAAAUCUGAGGGAAUGGGCAGAAAAACCUGGGCAGUAAAUUGAAGAGAAAGUUGAUGAUCAGCUAUAAAGACAGAUUCGUGCAAGGUUUAAGUACUCCCACUUAGAGAAGGAAUUUGACUUCUUGCAGUUAUGCAGACAGGGGCUCAGUAUAAUAAUGGGGUUCUAUAAUUUGGUAUCCAAGUGAAUGAUGAACCCCACCCGCCUUGGGAGGAUUUUUGGUGACUUUGCUCAUUCUUCUUGUUCUCUGUCUUCUAAACAGUUGAAGAUAGAUCCAAGGGCCCACAUGGAGAUCAAAAUGCAGCAUUUGCUUCAUUUCUGGUUGAUAUUUGCAAAACCUUUGGUUUCUGAUAAAGCCUUUGUUCUUUAUGUUUGUGGGAGAAAAGGAACAAAAAGGGAGAGAGAAACACAGUUAAACAGAAAAUCCUACACAUAUCCCAAGGCUUUUGAAGACAAAAAGAAUUGUACAAAAUAA
rnacentral:lncRNA from 1 species